UUUAGUUUGAUUCCGUACGAUAUGAAAAUAUUUAGUUCCUGAAGAUUUAAUAAUAAACUAUAUCUUUUUAUCGUCGCAAAUUCCCUCUUUUCAUUAAGAUGCUAAUAUUAAUUUAGUACUCUCAGCAUCGAGUGCUAUUAAAGUUGCUAAUUCUACUCUCAUCAUAAACAAAAGACUCUUUCGUGUCAGACACCUUUCGUCAGAACUGAGAUCACUCGACGACUCGUAUUUCAGUGUAAGUACAUCAACAUAGUUACAGUUUACAACUAGACUUUUGUUAAAGGAAAAACUUCAUCUCAAUUUUUAUUUGAACUAAUUAUGCACGAAACUCUUACGAAAAUGUUAAGAUUUUGAGUAGAAAAACCUUCCAAAUUAAUUCUACAUCAAAUUUUAGCAAAAUGUUUUAUUUACAACUAUUCGAUUCGAAGGAAAAUAAUUUCGGACCAUCCAUAAUUACUUAUUUAAGCUAACAAGGAAAUAAUCUCUAAAGAUAAUA